AUGAUGAGCAAGUGCAAUGUUACAGGAACUUUCACCCUAAGUGUGCCCAAACAAUAUGUCAAGCGACAUGUGGGAGAUACGGAGCGCAACAUAUGUCUUCAGUGCCUUGGCAAGAGGUGGGAAGUGCAAUUUGGUGGUAGGCCUGAAGAGAAAAGGAUUAUAUCUGGCUGGCGGAGGUUUGUAAAGGACAAUGAUGUUGAGAUGGGUGAUAUCUGCAUUUUUGAAUUGUUGAAGAAAUGUAAGACGUGCACGAUGGAAGUCCAUAUCAUCCAUACAAAGGAUAUUGAUACGCCUUCCAAAAUUUGUCAGCAAAGGCACAGAGAGGUUGUUAAAAUUAUGGAACAUUCUCAUUCUCUCCCCCAGCUUAAGGAAAUGCAACUGCGUAACGAAACAGUGGAAGAUGCUAUCGUUCAUCCCGAACCCAAGCAAAUACAGCCACCUUCGUUGGAAAGACGGAUACGACUUCAAAGGGACAAGUCUAGUCAGGGCAGCAAGAGAGAUUCCUUGUCAUCGGAAGAUACUGAUCAUGAAGAAGGUGCUUUGCCUGAUUGCAUCCUUGCACGUUUUACGCGCCUUACUACAGAUCAGAAGAAGGCAGUGAAGGAGAAGGUUCAAUUUAUUGAUUCUGAAACUCCCAUCUUUGUUGCCAUGAUGCAACAAACCAAUGUUACUGGAAGAUACACUCUAAGCCUUUCAAAGAAAUAUAUUAACAAAUAUUUGGGAGACGAGGUGCGGAGCAUCUGCCUUGAGCGACUUGGCGAGAGGUGUCAAGUAUGGUUUGGACGCAGGCCUCAGGAUAAAAGGAUUAUAGGCGGAUGGACAAAGUUCGUGAAAGCCAAUGAGGUGGAGGUGGGAGAUAUCUGCCUCUUCGAGCUGCUGAAGCAUCGGAAAUUGUGUGCCAUGAAAGUUCAUAUCAUCCGCGCAAAGGACUUCAGUUGA
rnacentral:rRNA from 1 species